rnacentral:rRNA from 1 species
AACGAACGCUGGCGGCAGGCUUAACACAUGCAAGUCGAACGCGUGCAGCAAUGCACGAGUGGCGCACGGGUGAGUAACGCGUGGAUAUCUGCCUUUUGGUUCGGAAUAACCCCGGGAAACUGGGGCUAAUACCGGAUGGUUCCUACGGGAUAAAGAUUUAUCGCCAAAAGAUGAGUCCGCGUCCGAUUAGCUAGUUGGUGAGGUAAUGGCUCACCAAGGCGACGAUCGGUAGCUGGUCUGAGAGGACGAUCAGCCACACUGGGACUGAGACACGGCCCAGACUCCUACGGGAGGCAGCAGUGGGGAAUAUUGGACAAUGGGGGCAACCCUGAUCCAGCCAUGCCGCGUGAGUGAUGGAGGCCUUCGGGUUGUAAAGCUCUUUUGGCGGGGACGAUGAUGACGGUACCCGCAGAAUAAGCCCCGGCUAACUUCGUG